AGUUUGAGACUUCAGCCUCCUUCAUAUUUAAAUCUUUGUAUGUAGACAGAGAGCUCCAAAAUAACUCAUAGAAAUUCCUAUAUUUCCUGGUGAGAACUCUGAGGCAAUUAAACAUCAUCUAGAGAAAAGGGAACCACGAUAUCUCUUGCAUCUUCCGUUUGUGAACUAAACUUCAUCCCUCCUACAUAUAUUUAUACAUAUACAGUUUCCCCGUUAUCUAAAAGCAGAGCGUUCCUAUGAAACCUUUCGUAAACCAAGAUGGCGUCACGCGAAGAAGCAGUUACCGUUAAUUUACAGAGGAAGCAUUUUUGAGCAUUCCAGGACCCAAAAAAUAAUCUACCACAUCACACCAAAUAACACGUAAACCUAAACUCCCACUAGCACAGUGAAAACAGGAACCAUAUGAUGACUACACAGCCUACAUAAAGCAGAAACUACGUACUCUGCGGUUCACUUCCCAGAACCCGGAGGACAGCGAGUCUGCCUGCCUCCAUGUCGAGGGUCGGGAUUCACUGGCUGCUCUGGCUGCUGUGGUUGAUGUGGAAGGCUUGAGAGAGGACAUGAUGCUUGACUGCUUAGCCUCCAUAAUGGCUUGCUGCCAAACACUCAACGUACUUUCAAAAAGCAAAUCAUCUUUGGAUUUAUUUCGGUUAUGGAAAACAGAGUGAGGCUGUCCCAACUUUCUCCAGAUGACACUCAGAAAAUGUGCCUUUGAAGAGGAAGAUGGGGAAUGGAAGAGGAGAAACAAGAAUAUGAAACCAAUAACAGAAGUUAAGUUCUCCUUAUUUCGAUGACAGACAACAUGUGUGCCAUGUUUCAGCUGAGAAAGCCUUGACACUUGGAAUUGGAUUUUUCAGGGAAUUAAAUGUCCGAGUUUCUCUCUGAAAGUACAAAUGAGAGGGCAGUUUUAAGGAACUUUGGUGACACAGGCUCAUUCCCUUUGGCAGUAGCAUAAGCAACAGCAGUUUAUGGGGAGAAUAGAAAUUCAUUCCGACCCAUGACUUUACAUUACGUUGUGCUUUCUCUCUUGGGGAGGAAGUUUGGACUGCACAGCAACUCUGUGAUCCAAAGCAGCUUGCUUGCCCCAUAGUGUGAUACAAAGCGGUAAUAGUCAGGAGUCCUGAUAACUGAGUCAGAAGGAGAUAUUGCUCUUUUGGUUCCGAGUUGCGGAAGCUUUGCUGGCAUCCACUGCCUGAAAAGCUGAUUCCGUCCCAGAUAGAGGUGAGAUACAUGAACACAGGGAGGACACAGAACACGGCAAGGCAUUGGUAGUAAUAUGAUCAAUUAAUUUAGUAAAGGGUGCCAUCUGACUAUGGAGCCAUCCGACAGGAAAUGUGUGCAAGCCCCACAGUGAAAACAUGAUUUCUGUUAAUUGCCUGCUUUCAUCAUGCAGAUCCCAUGAGGCAGCCAAGCUGGCAUAUGAAAGGACCAGUUACUGGCUAAACUGCUGCCUAAUGUCCUUUGUGGGAGAGAUCUGGGCCUCAGAUUGACCUGAAGUAUAAAACACCAUUGAGUGCUCUAUCUUCUUCUUAAUCUAGGGCAUGACCAUUGGCCCGGAUUUCCCAACAUUCCCCCUCUGUUGUCGGUCAGUCCUUGGCUACUCAACAUUUGUCUCUGCCAGAUCCUUGCUUUACUGACCACGGUUAAAAGCCAGGAAAAGACUGAGGUGACCUUGGGUAUGGGCCACAUUACUGUUCAUUACUUGCUUGAAAAGGAAAAAAAAUGCAAACAAGAAUUAUUCUUCAUAAAGUUGGUUUAAUUCUUGCGAGCAAGUUUAUGAGUCAUUUUAUGAAUGGCUCCCGCUUCAAAUUAGGGCUCCUGUUUCCGCUUCCAAUGAGCCUCUAGUAUUACAUCUAAUAUUGUUUCCUCUCAGCAAUUGAAAUGUACAUCCCUGCUGGGUGGUAAGAAUAGAAUUUCUUUCCGGAAUUCUUUCUUCUUUCUGAAUUGCUUCAUUUUACUUCCCCCAAAACUAAAAUAAAGUAAUUUGUACCUAAAACUAGACAAAAUUAACCUCACGGCUCGUUCUGCUUUCAGUCUGCGACCUGGCUCCUUGGCACAGGAGGCUGCUUUCACUCAUGGCCCCGCCUCACCCCCUCCUUUGGGCAGGAGGAAGAUGUCUUCCAUGGGAGUAAAUGGGCUCAGAGGGUUUUUGAACUGCUUUUUAAACUUUUAAAACUGCUCAAAGGGUUUUUGAGCACAGUAAUGUGAAGGUCAAUUAGAAUGAAGGUUCUGGAAUCAGGGCCUAUGCCCCCCAGGGCACAGGUGUCACCCUGUUACUUCGUUCCUGGCAGAGUGUUCGCUGUCCUCUGGCCGCUGCACAGACUGGCUCCGGAGGCUCCAGAGAAUAAGCUUAUUUUGUUUCCAUGUUCUUGAACCUAUAAGCCGUGUCUGGCAUGCUCUCCUCGCCGUCCUUUCUGCAAAGCGAAUAGUUCCAUCGUGAUGAUAAGAAAUAAUGGUUGCAAGUCUUCCCUGCUGUGUACAUGGAUGACAUUACAUAUUAAGACAAUACUCUUUCCUGUUGACACAGAAUCCUUCUCAACAUAGUGUUUGGGAAUGCUAGCACCAAUUGAUUAGCAUUGUUGUGCAUGAAAAAAGGACUAAAAAUGAAAAACCCUAUAUUUACCCUGCUCUCGGUUUGAGGAACCCAAGUCCUCCAACUUUGUUAUUUGGGUAGUGGAUAGGAGACAGAAAACAUAGACAUUCAGUAGGGUGAACCAUGCCAUGCAUGAGGGCCUUUCAUACCUCUGUUGAGCUAUUGAGAGAGGGGCAGGGAGAGAGGGAGGAACAAACACAAGUCCCAUAAAAGUAACAGUCGAUAAUGAUUAUCAUGUAUUAAAUUUCAAAAUUCAAAACUUGCCAUACCAACAUAAAUAUUGACAUUGUCAUUAAUUCAACCAUUAUCACAUGUACUAGACAGAAAGAAGAACGAAUGCAGUGAGAGACUACAGUCAGGCAAGCGAAACCUUCCUACAAAUAUCCAGCAUCCUUCCACUUAUACAUUCCCAGCCAGAACUGUGUCUCAGGACCACCCCUAACUGCUAGGGAAGCUGGGAAAUAUUGUUUUUUGAAAACUAACACAUAAGUGCCCCAAACACAAUGGGGGUUUCUGUCAGUAAGAAAGGCAGAAUCAAUUCUGGGUGAGUAAUUAACCAUGUCUGACACAGGCCCUUCUAGUACACACUUUCAUAACGAUAACUACCUUGUUUGCUUAGAAUUUAUCACAGACAAAAUUAUGUACUUGCUGUCUUGCCACCACCUUGUGAGCUCUGAGAGGGCUGAGUACGAGUCUGAUUUUUACUGACCUUUUAUUUCCAGGAACCAGUUCAGUGUCUGUAGCGCAACAGGCACUCAAAGCAUAUUUGUUAAAAAAUGAAUAAUUUCCCACCACGUUUUCCUAGUUCAGGCAAGUACCGUCUCCUCUGUGGGUUACCACAUUUCUGAUGAGCAUCCCAAUUAGUCUCCUUGCUCUCCCUCUACUGGCUGAGUGAUCCCUCUGAAGUGAUUUGUAACCAAGUCAAACCACUCAAUAGUUCACCAUUAUCUAAAGGAUAAAGUCUGAUUCCUGAAGAUGAUUUACAAAGACCUUAAUGACUUGAUACCCAGAUAUCUUUCCUGCUCAUCAUUUACCUUUCCCUGCUUUUUACUCUAUUUCUAUACUAACUAUUUUUCAAUUCCUCAAAGAAGCCGUAAUCUCUUUUUUCACUUGAGAUAUAACUUACAUACAAUAAAAUUCAUUUUGUAUACAGUUUUAUAAGCUUCUACAAAAGAGCAGAAUCUUGUGACUAACACCAUAGUCUAUUUAUAGAAUAUUGCCAUCACCCUCCACGAUUCCCUCGUGACUCUUUGUAGUCAACCUCUAUCCCUGCCUCCAGUCCCUGAUAACCAAUGAUCAGUUUUCUGUCCUUAUAAAUUUUAUUUUUUCCAGAAAAAUAUAUAACUAGAAUCAUAGAGCAAGGAGCCUUUUAAGUCUGGAUAUUUUACUUAACAUAAUGCUUUUGAGAUUCAUUCCUGUUGGGUAUGUAUUAGUAAUGUGUUCCUAUUUGUUGCUGACUAGUCUUCCAUUGUACGGAUAUACCACAGUCUAUCCAUUUACUCAUUACAGAGCAUUUGCAUUGUUUCCAGUUUGGGGUAAUUAUGAAUGAAACCACUAUAAACACUCACAUAUAGGUUUUCAUAUGAAUACAAGUUACCUUUUCACCUUGGAGUGGGAUUACUAGAUUGUAAUGAUAAGUGUAUGUUAAACUUUUUAAGAAACUGCUUUCCAAACUGUUUUCCAGAGAGGCCACUGUAUUGAGCUUUCCCCCAAUAUUCUCUUUUAAUGCUGGCCCUUUUGCUUGUCUUGCAGUUACUCCAUUCAUCUCCUUCCCUCUACUGCUUUAUGCUUAGACUUCAGCUUUUAGUUUGGCAAUUGCUUUCUCUGGGAAAGUCGUCCCUGAUCCCGGCUCUGGAUUGAUGCGUCUCCUCUGUUCUCUCACACUAUUGUAUGUCUCCUCAAUUAAUGUUGCAUAAUCUAAAAGAAUGGAAAAAUAAUGCUAUUUCAGUCUCAAUUUGAACUGAGCUUGCAACAUUAGGGAUGUCAACUACUCCGACAUUCAAAGGGAUGUACUACACCACCUUAGGAGAAUUUACAAAGGAAUAGCUCACAUCUAUUUUUUCAACUGUGGCUUAUCACUCAUUCAAGGAUAUCUCAAACAAUGGAGGUUAAAAGUCUGGGAGAAAAAAAUUUCCUUGGAAAAACAAUUUGGAGUGAGGCCACAUAUUCUGUUCUUCAUGGACCAAGGAGAGGGUGCUUCUACUUCCCUUCAAGACAAGUGAGAGAGAAUUCCAGAGGACCACUUGGACAGCUUGGUCUUUGUUUCCUAGUAUCUGUGGGAGCACAGCAACUGGUGCCAAGUCCUUUUCUGAAAAGGCCUUAAAAUUGUGAGAUUUUAACUAGAUAGCUACUGUGAUGGUGGGAUAAGAAGAGGUAACUCCGCGGGGAAAGUCAUGGGAACCUAGAAUUUUCAGAGCACGGGAUUGUGAGUUUUUCUCAUGAACCAACUGGGGGCUAUAUAACAGGUAGCCUUCCUGCACCUAUCUGAAAAAGAAUUGACAAAAAAAUGUACUGCCUGGAAGGGUAAUGAGAUCUCCAACAGACUCUGUGUCAAGUGGAGGGUCUCUAGGGUAGAGAUCAUCCACAGUAAAGGAAGGAAAGGUGCAAGAUCCCCAAUGAUGAUGAUGACCACCCACAGUGCACUCCAAGGGGGAUCGAAUGCAGAUCACAGCUGCCCCAGCAGGGCAUGACUUUUCCUCCCAUUUGCCUCAUUUUCUUCAGAUCACAUCAAGCUGGAAGAGGUAGCGAUAUCUAGUGAGUGAGAGGGGAGAGGUAUAAAUGCUGGGGGGGAGUUAGAGGAGAGGAAAUAAAAAAUAAUAAGUAAUUUGUUCAUCCCCUACAUUUUGACAUUCAGCUUGUGGUCAAUUACUUACUACUGUAAUUGGUGCUGCAAACAAACAUUUUGGCAUAUAGAUUUUUGUCCAUAUUUCCUCUCAUUUUCUUAGACAACUUUCCUAGAUGUGGAAUAAUUGGAACUCCAAGUCCUAACAGUUUUGAGACUCUUGAAACAUAAUUUUAAAAUUAUAGUCCAGAAAGGUUUAUGGUUUACAUUCUCACUAGUAAUUUAUAAGGGUGUAUACCUUGCUAUACCCUCACCAAUGAAAUUAGUUUUAGGAAAAAUCUAUUAAAUUGAUAAAUGCAAAGAGAAAUAUCAUUGUUGUUUUAAUUUCAAUUAUCCCUGGGAUUAAAUUGUGUUGUGUGUUUAUUUUCCACUUCCAUUUUCUCUGGAAGACUAGUUUGUUAAUAUCUGUUAAAGUAAUUUUUAUUCACAAGGCUGUAUUUUAACCUAGAGGAGAUGAAUUAAGGCGAGGAAUGCACUUCUUGAUCUUUCUAGGCCUCUUGCUAUCCUGUGUAUUUAUUUCUGGAAAAAACUGCAUUUUCAAACACAAACCAUUGUGUUAUUCGAUCAAUUUUUUUAGUGCAUAUUCCCCAUCCUUGCUGGUCGAGAAAAUCAAUCCAGCCAAUUAAUGUGUUGGAGAAUGGGGAAAAAAAGUGAUACUUCUGUGUGGCAGUCCUUCCUGUCACUUGGAAAUGCAUCUUAAACACUUCAAGGAACACUAGCGUGAGUGUGUGAAUGGACGUCCCCAUAGAGAGAGAGGAGGAGGAAGGAAGGAGAGUGUGCAGAUGUUCAUGCAAGUGGCAUUGGGGGAGGGGAUGAGCAGACAGGUGUUAGGUCAAUGCUUCUCCUGUUCUACUUCAAUUAUGGCAUUCAGGGGCAGAAAGGGGAGAAAGCAAAGCUGGACUUUUCUUUUCAGACGCAAUCUACUUUCUGAGAUGCCUGAAGAGAGUGCACUAUAGGAAAUUACAAUUCUCUUGAAUUUGAUCAAAGAGGAAAUAUUUAUUUGUGGGACCUAGAAAGUGGGGUGAAAAAUACAAAGGGGUAUACUUCUCAGAAAUCUUUUCUUCUUUAUAGGGUCCUGGAUGAAUACUUCAUUGCAACAAACUUGGCUUCAAACCAGAAAGACAUUGAGUC